UGCUAGGAGCCGAGCCUCGGCAG
rnacentral:piRNA from 1 species